rnacentral:rRNA from 1 species
GAUUUCUGGUGUGGUGCGCCGAGCCCGCCGUCGUUUAGGCGGUGAGCGCUUGCUGUGCGCCUACCAUCUUUCCGGAGGGCGACUCCUACCCUUAACUGGGCCGGGGGCCGCGAUCUGGAUCGUUUACUUUGAAAAAAUUAGAGUGUUUAAAGCAGGCGUAUGCUAUGAAUACAUUAGCAUGGAAUAAUAAGAUAGGACUUUGGCCCUAUUUUGUUGGUUUCUAGGACUGAAGUAAUGAUUGAUAGGGACAGUUGGGGGUGCUAGUAUUUAACGGCCAGAGGUGAAAUUCUUGGAUUCGUUAAAGACUAACUUAUGCGAAAGCAUU